rnacentral:rRNA from 1 species
GCAUAUCAAUAAGCGGAGGAAAAGAAACCAACAGGGAUUGCCUUAGUAACGGCGAGUGAAGCGGCAACAGCUCAAAUUUGAAAGCUGGCCCUUUCAGGGUCCGCAUUGUAAUUUGUAGAGGAUGAUUCGGCGAGGGCUCCCGCCUAAGUCCCCUGGAACGGGGCGUCAUAGAGGGUGAGAAUCCCGUAUGCGGUGGGCUGCCUUAGCCAUGUGAAUCUCCUUCGACGAGUCGAGUUGUUUGGGAAUGCAGCUCUAAAUGGGAGGUAAAUUUCUUCUAAAGCUAAAUACCGGCCAGAGACCGAUAGCGCACAAGUAGAGUGAUCGAAAGAUGAAAAGCACUUUGGAAAGAGAGUUAAAAAGUACGUGAAAUUGUUGAAAGGGAAGCGCUUGCAACCAGACUUGUCCGCAGUUGCUCAGCCGGUCUCCUGACCGGCGUACUCUUCUGCGGCCAGGCCAGCAUCAGUUCGGGCGGUCGGAUAAAGACCUCGGGAAUGUAGCUCCUCUCGGGGAGUGUUAUAGCCCGGGGUGGAAUGCGGCCAGCCUGGACUGAGGAUCUCGCUUCGGCAAGGAUGCUGGCGUAAUGGUUGUAAGCGGCCCGUCUUGAAACACGGACCAAGGAGUCUAACAUCUAUGCGAGUGUUUGGGUGUCAAACCCAUACGCGUAAUGAAAGUGAACGGAGGUGGGAACCCGCAAGGGUGCACCAUCGGCCGAUCCUGAUGUCUUCGGAUGGAUUUGAGCAAGAGCAUAGCUGUUGGGACCCGAAAGAUGGUGAACUAUGCCUGAAUAGGGUGAAGCCAGAGGAAACUCUGGUGGAGGCUCGCAGCGGUUCUGACGUGCAAAUCGAUCGUCAAA